CGGGGCGGGUGAUAGGCGAGACCACGCCCCCGGACUCCUGCGCGCUUCCCCGCCCCCACGCCGUCGCCCAGGCAACCUGGCGGGCCUGGAAGGCCACUUUUCCUCACUUUUCCUACUCCCCUGCAACCCGGCUCCUCGCCUCACUCAUAUCAUUCUCACAGAGGCCCCACAAAGAUCUUCCAGAUACCAGUUGGCACAAAUCCUCCCCGGGACCUGCGCGCCGAGGAAGGGGCAGGCUGACACCGUCACUCACACUGGCAGUCCUGUUCCCCCGCCCCUAAGUUCAAGCUAGCAGAGUAACUCGCAUUUUGCAGCCCGCCUGUGCUUAGCCUUCUUGACCAGGUUAUUUGAAGCAGGAAGACUCACCCUAAAUGGGGAUCCAGCCCAGAGUGGGAGGAAAAACUUCUCUGCAGGUGAGUUCGCCGUAGCCACCGCCAUCCUUUGCUACCUCCAGAGUCCAGUUUCUUCAGCCUUCCCAUGUGGACUGAAGACCAGGGGUCCCCACACCUCCUGUGCCAGACUGGGAUUGCUAAGACACCAGCCUCCUGCACUGACUAGCCACCGAGUUCUCAGCCUCUCCAGUAUGAUACAGACCUUGUUGUGAAAGCCAACCUAAUAAAGCCUCUCUCAAAUA